rnacentral:rRNA from 1 species
GCAUAUCAAUAAGCGGAGGAAAAGAAACCAACCGGGAUUGCCUCAGUAACGGCGAGUGAAGCGGCAAGAGCUCAAAUUUGAAAUCUGGCCCCUCCGGGGUCCGAGUUGUAAUUUGCAGAGGAUGCUUCGGGUGCGGCCCCUGUCUAAGUGCCCUGGAACGGGCCGUCAGAGAGGGUGAGAAUCCCGUCUUGGGCAGGGUGCCCGUGCCCGUGUGAAGCUCCUUCGACGAGUCGAGUUGUUUGGGAAUGCAGCUCAAAAUGGGUGGUAAAUUUCAUCUAAAGCUAAAUACCGGCCGGAGACCGAUAGCGCACAAGUAGAGUGAUCGAAAGAUGAAAAGCACUUUGAAAAGAGAGUUAAACAGCACGUGAAAUUGUUGAAAGGGAAGCGCUUGCAACCAGACUCGGCCUCGGGGUUCAGCCAGCAUUCGUGCUGGUGUACUUCCCCGGGGCCGGGCCAGCGUCGGUUUGGGCGGCCGGUCAAAGGCCCCAGGAAUGUAUCGUCCUCCGGGACGUCUUAUAGCCUGGGGUGCAAUGCGGCCAGCCUGGACCGAGGAACGCGCUUCGGCACGGACGCUGGCGUAAUGGUCGCAAACGACCCGUCUUGAAACACGGACCAAGGAGUCUAACAUCUACGCGAGUGUUCGGGUGUCAAACCCGUACGCGCAGUGAAAGCGAACGGAGGUGGGAGCCCCCCCGGGGCGCACCAUCGACCGAUCCUGAUGUCUUCGGAUGGAUUUGAGUACGAGCGUAGCUGUGGGGACCCGAAAGAUGGUGAACUAUGCCUGAAUAGGGUGAAGCCAGAGGAAACUCUGGUGGAGGCUCGCAGCGGUUCUGACGUGCAAAUCGAUCGUCAAAUUUGGGUAUAGGGGCGAAAGACUAAUCGAACCAUCUAGUAGCUGGUUCCUGCCG